rnacentral:tRNA from 1 species
GGAUGAUUGUCAGAGUGGUCGAAUGUGCCUGUCUCGAAAACAGGUGUGCUGAAAGGCACCGCAGGUUCAAAUCCUGCAUCAUCCGCCA